UACGAAGGGGGCUAGCGUUGUUCGGAAUACUGGGCGUAAAGCGCGCGCAGGCGGUUCUCCAAGUCAGUGGUGAAAGCCCGGAGCUCAACUCCGGGCCUGCAGUCGAUACGGGCGGACUCGAGUUCGGCAGGGGAGACUGGAAUUCCUGGUGUAGCGGUGAAAUGCGCAGAUAUCAGGAGGAACACCGGUGGCGAAGGCGGGUCUCUGGGCCGAUACUGACGCUGAGGAGCGAAAGCGUGGGGAGCGAACAGG
rnacentral:rRNA from 1 species